UACGUAUGGUGCAAGCGUUAUCCGGAUUUACUGGGCGUAAAGGGAGCGCAGGCGGCGCGCCAAGUCUGAUGUGGAACCCCGGGGCUCAACCCCGGGCAUGCAUUGGAAACUGGCGGGCUGGAGUGCCGGAGAGGUAAGCGGAAUUCCUAGUGUAGCGGUGAAAUGCGUAGAUAUUAGGAGGAACGCCAGUGGCGAAGGCGGCUUACUGGACGGCAACUGACGCUGAGGCUCGAAAGCGUGGGGAGCAAACAGG
rnacentral:rRNA from 1 species